rnacentral:rRNA from 1 species
UAAACAUGUUCUUUUAUUAUUUUUUUAAGAUUGGCCCUGCUCAAUGAAAAAUUUAAAUAGCCGCGGUAAUUUAACUGUGCUAAGGUAGCAUAAUAAUUAGUCUUUUAAUUGAGGUCUGGAAUGAAUGGGUUGACAAGGAAAUAACUUUAUUUUAUUGAUUUUUUUGAAUUUAAUUUUUUCGUCAAAAAGCUUAAAUAUUUAAAUGGGACGAUAAGACCCUAUAGAUCUUUAUUUUUUUUUUUUUUAGAUAUUUUAUUUAAUUUAUUUUUUAAUUAAAAUAAAAAAUUUAGUUGGGGUGAUUAUUAAAAUUUUUAACUUUAUUAUUUUUUUACUUUUAUUUUUGUGUUUGUUGAUCCUUUAUUAUGGAUUAUAAGAUUAAGGUACCUUAGGGAUAACAGCGUUAUAUAUUUGGAGAGUUCUAAUCGAUAAGUAUGUUUGCGACCUCGAUGUUGGAUUAAAAUUAAUUGUGGGGUAGGUUUUACAAUGUUAGGUCUGUUCAACCUUUAAAAUUUUACAUGAUCGAUU